AAGGAAUGAAAGAUAAAACCCUAGAAUUUGUAGAUUGGAGCUUCCGCAUCCAAAAUCCGCCUCCAAGGGGUGAAGGGUGUGUUUCUAUGUCUCCUUCUGCCAAAACAUACCCUCUUUGGGUUGCGUAAAUCAAUAUAUAGUUCAUUAAAACAAGCAGAAAUUGGCCCAGGCCCAAGAGACUGACGCUCAGCGCUGGAUUUGCACUCAGCGUUGGCACUCAAGCAUCCACCAGUGGAUUCCUCCCCAAAGCUAGCGCUCAACACUGCCUGCGAUUCCUCUUUUAAGCACUUU
rnacentral:lncRNA from 1 species